GCAAUGAUGACUUCACUGGCAAUGAUUGUUUGAACUGAUUUUAGCCAUCAUUCCUCUAAGAAGUUCUGAGCUU